GGGAGACCUUGGGGCUCAGGGGACUUGGCCCCUCUGGCUAUUUUGAGCCUCAGGAUGAGCUUUCAAGUAAGGUUUCAUUUGGCACGUGUGUGUCUGCGCUCACUCACACUGCGUGUGCACGUAAAUGGUUCAGCUACCUGCGGUCAUCUCUUGUGCUAGUACAUUCCACUGGCUGUCUGUUUUGAAGAAAAGGCAUACAGACAUGGAUUCUGCAUUCCUGGUUUGCAUCCCUCAGUUCUCCGUGCUCCGCCUUUGGGGAACAUAGAAUGUCGUCUAUCCUGCAUGUUUGAAAAGCAGUUUAGUAAGUAACUCAUCGGCCCAUCUUUACAAGUUGCAUGGAAAUUUUGUCCACAGUUUUGGGGAUGUUCCUAUAACAGAACUCUCCCUUCACCUGUUUCUUGUGGAGUUGGGAUCUUUAUUUCUUUCUUGCCUUUCCCUGAGUCGUCGUCCUUUGAGCACCACAGUAGUUCUUUUUUAUGCGAAUCCCUAAACCAGUUGUUCUCAACCUUCCUAAUGCUGUGACCCCUCAAUACAGUUCCUUAUGUCAUGGUGACCCCCAACCACAAAAUUAUUU
rnacentral:lncRNA from 1 species